GCUAAACGCGAAGAACCUUACCAAGGUUUGACAUCACCCGGAUCGCUCCAGAGAUGGGGUUUCCCUUCGGGGCUGGGUGACAGGUGGUGCAUGGCUGUCGUCAGCUCGUGUCGUGAGAUGUUGGGUUAAGUCCCGCAACGAGCGCAACCCUCGUUCCAUGUUGCCAGCAUGCCCUUUGGGGUGGUGGGGACUCAUGGGAGACUGCCGGGGUCAACUCGGAGGAAGGUGGGGAUGACGUCAAGUCAUCAUGCCCCUUAUGCCUUGGGCUGCAAACAUGCUACAAUGGCCGGUACAGAGGGCGGCGAUACCGUAAGGUGGAGCGAAUCCCGUAAAGCCGGUCUCAGUUCGGAUUGGAGUCUGCAACUCGACUCCAUGAAGUUGGAAUCGCUAGUAAUCGCAAAUCAGCAUGUUGCGGUGAAUACGUUCCCGGGUCUUGUACACACCG
rnacentral:rRNA from 1 species